CCUACGUGAGGCAGCAGUGGGGAAUAUUGCGCAAUGGGCGAAAGCCUGACGCAGCGACGCCGCGUGAGGGAUGAAGGUCUUCGGAUCGUAAACCUCUUUCAGCAGGGAAGCACGGUCACUGUGCUAAUCAGCAGUGAAUUGACGGUACCUGCAAAGGAAGCACCGGCUACCUCCGUGCCAGCAGCCGCGGUAAUACGGAGGGUGCGAGCGUUAAUCGGAAUUACUGGGCGUAAAGCGCUCGUAGGCGGUAUGUCAAGUCAAGGGUGAAAUCCCCGCGCUCAACGUGGGAACUGCCUUUGAAACUGGCAAACUGGAGUGUGUGAGAGGAUAGUGGAAUUCCAGGUGUAGGAGUGAAAUCCGUAGAUAUCUGGAGGAACAUCAGUGGCGAAGGCGACUAUCUGGCACAUAACUGACGCUGAGGAGCGAAAGCGUGGGUAGCAAACAGGAUUAGAUACCCCUGUAGUC
rnacentral:rRNA from 1 species